rnacentral:rRNA from 1 species
GACGAACGCUGGCUACAGGCUUAACACAUGCAAGUCGAGGGACCGGCGCACGGGUGAGUAACACGUAUCCAACCUGCCCUUUACUCGGGGAUAGCCUUUCGAAAGAAAGAUUAAUACCCGAUAUAAAGGAUGGGGAUGCGUUCCAUUAGGUUGUUGGUGAGGUAACGGCUCACCAAGCCUUCGAUGGAUAGGGGUUCUGAGAGGAAGGUCCCUAACAUUGAAACUGAGACACGGUCCAAACUCCUACGGGAGGUAGAAGUGAGGAAUAUUGGUCAAUGGGCGCUAGCCUGAACCAACCAAGUAACGUGAAGGAUGAAGGCUUAUGGGUCGUAAACUUCUUUUAUAUAAGAAUAUGUAUUAUAUGAAUAAGGAACGGAUAACUCCGUGCCAGCAGCCGCGGAAGUAC